rnacentral:rRNA from 1 species
CCUACGGGCGGCAGCAGUGGGGAAUAUUGCACAAUGGAGGGAACCCUGAUGCAGCGACGCCGCGUGAGUGAAGAAGUAUUUAGGUAUGUAAAGCUCUAUCAGCAGGAACGAGACAAGACGGUACCUGACUAAGAAGCCCCGGCUAACUACGUGCCAGCAGCCGCGGUAAUAAGUAGGGGGCAAGCGUUAGCCGGAAUCACGGGGUGUAAAGGGAGCGUAGACGGCUGAGCAAGCCUGAAGUGAACGGCCGGGGCCCAACCUCGGGAUUGCUUGGGAAACUGUACGGCUGGAGUGCAGGAGAGGUAAGUGGAAUUCCUAGUGUAGCGGUGAAAUGCGUAGAGAUUAGGAGGAACACCAGUGGCGAAGGCGGCUUACUGGACUGUAACUGACGUUGAGGCUCGAAAGCGUGGGGAGCAAACAGGAUUAGAUACCCUAGUAGUC